CUCUCGGUGGCCAAGCUGGCUAAGGCGCGAGACUGUAAUUGAUUUGUAAUCUUGAGAUCGGGUGUUCGACUCACCCCCGGGAGA
rfam:[Candida] intermedia strain CBS 141442 genome assembly, chromosome: V